rnacentral:rRNA from 1 species
GUGAACGCUGGCGGUAGGCCUAACACAUGCCAGUCGAACGGCAGCACCGUAAGAGCUUGCUCUUACGGGUGGCGAGUGGCGGACGGGUGAGGAAUACAUCGGAAUCUACUUUUUCGUGGGGGAUAACGUAGGGAAACUUACGCUAAUACCGCAUACGACCUACGGGUGAAAGCAGGGGAUCUUCGGACCUUGCGCGAUUGAAUGAGCCGAUGUCGGAUUAGCUAGUUGGCGGGGUAAAGGCCCACCAAGGCGACGAUCCGUAGCUGGUCUGAGAGGAUGAUCAGCCACACUGGAACUGAGACACGGUCCAGACUCCUACGGGAGGCAGCAGUGGGGAAUAUUGGACAAUGGGCGCAAGCCUGAUCCAGCCAUACCGCGUGGGUGAAGAAGGCCUUCGGGUUGUAAAGCCCUUUUGUUGGGAAAGAAAAGCAGCAGGUUAAUACCCCGCUGUUCUGACGGUACCCAAAGAAUAAGCACCGGCUAACUUCGUGC